rnacentral:tRNA from 1 species
GCGCCCGUAGCUCAAUUGGAUAGAGCAUCUGCCUUCGGAGCAGAGGGUUGCAGGUUCAAGUCCUGCCGGGCGCGC